rnacentral:rRNA from 1 species
GACGUAGGGCGCAAGCGUUGUCCGGAAUUAUUGGGCGUAAAGAGCUCGUAGGCGGUCUGUCGCGUCUGCUGUGAAAACCUGGGGCUUAACCCCGGGCCUGCAGUGGGUACGGGCAGACUAGAGUGCGGUAGGGGAGACUGGAAUUCCUGGUGUAGCGGUGGAAUGCGCAGAUAUCAGGAGGAACACCGGUGGCGAAGGCGGGUCUCUGGGCAGUAACUGACGCUGAGGAGCGAAAGCGUGGGGAGCAAACAGG